GUAGUCCUACGGGGCGCAGCAGUGAGGAAUAUUGGUCAAUGGGCGGGAGCCUGAACCAGCCACGUCGCGUGAAGGAAGAAGGUUCUUAGUAUUGUAACCUUCUUUUGUCGGGGAACAAAGGCGGAGACGCGUCUCCGGAUGAGUGUACCCGAAGAAAAAGCAUCGGCUAACUCCGUGCCAGCAGCCGCGGUAAUACGGAGGAUGCGAGCGUUAUCCGGCUUUAUUGGGUUUAAAGGGUCCGCAGGCGGGGGGUCAAGUCAGCCGGAAAA
rnacentral:rRNA from 1 species